rnacentral:rRNA from 1 species
UAGGGAAUCUUCGGCAAUGGGGGGAACCCUGACCGAGCAACGCCGCGUGAGUGAAGAAGGUUUUCGGAUCGUAAAGCUCUGUUGUUAAGGAAGAACGAGUGUGAGAAUGGAAAGUUCAUGCUGUGACGGUACUUAACCAGAAAGGGACGGCUAACUACGUGCCAGCAGCCGCGGUAAUACGUAGGUCCCGAGCGUUGUCCGGAUUUAUUGGGCGUAAAGCGAGCGCAGGCGGUUAGAUAAGUCUGAAGUUAAAGGCAGUGGCUCAACCAUUGUAGGCUUUGGAAACUGUUUAACUUGAGUGCAGAAGAGGAAAGUGGAAUUCCAUGUGUAGCGGUGAAAUGCGCAGAGAUAUGGAGGAACACCAGUGGCGAAGGCGACUUUCUGGUCUGUAACUGACGCUGAUGUGCGAAAGCGUGGGGAUCAAACAGG